ncrna:Salinispora arenicola CNX891 L31-Actinobacteria ribosomal protein leader
CUGGUUCCGGUUCACGUCCGAUCCGUCGCACAUCCGCGAUCGGGCGACCCGGCGACC